CGUGGUUGAACUCAUUGCUUAACUAACUGUGACAUUAAUGAAGUCAAGUGAGACCGCGUAUGGAUUCUGUUAUGGAAUUAUUUUUAUGGACAUUUGUAUCCACACAUGACGCACACACGUGUAUAAUCUUCUCGACAAAUCCGACUUGUCAACACCAGAAUGUGACCGAGAUUGUGCGGCAUGCGUUUCGAGGCAUUCGACCAUUGUAAAGGAGAUUAUUGUCAAGGACCGUAUGUUCGAUAUACGUUCGACGACAAGGAAGAAGAGUGGUACAGUAUGUUUGGAUCGAAAUUCAUUACAAAAAUGGGCACUGGGUGUCAGAAGGGAAAAGGCGAGGAGAAAUGAUUGAAAAACGUUAGUAACAUCCUAAAUGGGAUUCAUAACAUUCAAUGUUGACUAUCGAUAUGAUCAUAUGGAACUUCUAAUGCUAC